UACGUAGGGGGCAAGCGUUGUCCGGAAUCAUUGGGCGUAAAGAGCGUGUAGGCGGCCCGAUAAGUCCGCUGUGAAAGUCCAGGGCUCAACCCUGGGAUGCCGGUGGAUACUGUCGGGCUCGAGUCCGGAAGAGGAGUGUGGAAUUCCUGGUGUAGCGGUGAAAUGCGCAGAUAUCAGGAGGAACACCUACGGCGAAGGCAGCUCGCCGGGACGGUACUGACGCUGAGACGCGAAAGCGUGGGGAGCAAACAGG
rnacentral:rRNA from 1 species